GACGAACGCUGGCGGCGUGCUUAACACAUGCAAGUCGAACGGAAAGGCCCCUUUGGGGGUCCUCGAGCGGCGAACGGGGGCGUAACACGUGAGUAACCUGCCCUUGACUUCGGGAUAACUUUAGGUAACUGGGGCUAAUACCGGUACGGAAUCAUUGCUGCAAGGGGGGGGUUGGAAAGUUUCGGCGGUUUUGGGUGGAUUGGCGGGUUAUCGGCUUGCUGGGGGGGUAGUGGCUUACCGAGGCUUUGUAGGGUAGCCGGCCUGAGAGGGCGACCGGCGACAUAGGGACUGAGGGACGGCCCAGACACCGACGGGAGGCAGCAGGGGGGAAUAUUGCACAAGGGGCGGAGGCCGGAUGCAGCAGCGCCGCGGGCGGGAUGACGGCCUUCUGGUUGUAAACCGCUUGCAGCAGGGGCGAUGCUUGUGUUGACGGUACCUGCAGAAGAAGCACCGGCUAACUACGUG
rnacentral:rRNA from 1 species